rnacentral:rRNA from 1 species
AGGUGGCCUGUGAGGGUUGCUGGAGGUAUCAGAAGUGCGAAUGCUGACAUAAGUAACGAUAAAGCGGGUGAAAAGCCCGCUCGCCGGAAGACCAAGGGUUCCUGUCCAACGUUAAUCGGGGCAGGGUGAGUCGACCCCUAAGGCGAGGCCGAAAGGCGUAGUCGAUGGGAAACGGGUUAAUAUUCCCGUACUUGGUGUUACUGCGAAGGGGGGACGGAGAAGGCUAUGUUGGCCGGGCGACGGUUGUCCCGGUUUAAGCGUGUAGGCUGGUUUUCCAGGCAAAUCCGGAAAAUCAAGGCUGAGGCGUGACGACGAGGCACUACGGUGCUGAAGCAACAAAUGCCCUGCUUCCAGGAAAAGCCUCUAAGCAUCAGGUAACAUCAAAUCGUACCCCAAACCGACACAGGUGGUCAGGUAGAGAAUACCAAGGCGCUUGAGAGAACUCGGGUGAAGGAACUAGGCAAAAUGGUGCCGUAACUUCGGGAGAAGGCACGCUGACAUGUAGGUGAAGUGAUUUACUCAUGGAGCUGAAGUCAGUCGAAGAUACCAGCUGGCUGCAACUGUUUAUUAAAAACACAGCACUGUGCAAACACGAAAGUGGACGUAUACGGUGUGACGCCUGCCCGGUGCCGGAAGGUUAAUUGAUGGGGUCAGCGCAAGCGAAGCUCCUGAUCGAAGCCCCGGUAAACGGCGGCCGUAACUAUAACGGUCCUAAGGUAGCGAAAUUCCUUGUCGGGUAAGUUCCGACCUGCACGAAUGGCGUAAUGAUGGCCAGGCUGUCUCCACCCGAGACUCAGUGAAAUUGAACUCGCUGUGAAGAUGCAGUGUACCCGCGGCAAGACGGAAAGACCCCGUGAACCUUUACUAUAGCUUGACACUGAACAUUGAGCCUUGAUGUGUAGGAUAGGUGGGAGGCUUUGAAGCGUGGACGCCAGUCUGCGUGGAGCCGACCUUGAAAUACCACCCUUUAAUGUUUGAUGUUCUAACGUGGACCCGUGAUCCGGGUUGCGGACAGUGUCUGGUGGGUAGUUUGACUGGGGCGGUCUCCUCCUAAAGAGUAACGGAGGAGCACGAAGGUUGGCUAAUCCUGGUCGGACAUCAGGAGGUUAGUGCAAUGGCAUAAGCCAGCUUGACUGCGAGCGUGACGGCGCGAGCAGGUGCGAAAGCAGGUCAUAGUGAUCCGGUGGUUCUGAAUGGAAGGGCCAUCGCUCAACGGAUAAAAGGUACUCCGGGGAUAACAGGCUGAUACCGCCCAAGAGUUCAUAUCGACGGCGGUGUUUGGCACCUCGAUGUCGGCUCAUCACAUCCUGGGGCUGAAGUAGGUCCCAAGGGUAUGGCUGUUCGCCAUUUAAAGUGGUACGCGAGCUGGGUUUAGAACGUCGUGAGACAGUUCGGUCCCUAUCUGCCGUGGGCGCUGGAGAACUGAGGGGGGCUGCUCCUAGUACGAGAGGACCGGAGUGGACGCAUCACUGGUGUUCGGGUUGUCAUGCCAAUGGCACUGCCCGGUAGCUAAAUGCGGAAGAGAUAAGUGCUGAAAGCAUCUAAGCACGAAACUUGCCCCGAGAUGAGUUCUCCCUGAGACUUAGAGUCUCCUGAA